rnacentral:tRNA from 1 species
CCCGCAUGAAUACUAUGUUUUCUGAUUUGGUAACUAGCAACUCCUAAGCGCUAGAUACAGGUUCGAUUCCUGUCGGCGGGACCA